rnacentral:rRNA from 1 species
UACGUAGGGGGCUAGCGUUGUCCGGAAUCAUUGGGCGUAAAGAGCGUGUAGGCGGUCCGGUAAGUCCGCUGUGAAAGUCGGGGGCUCAACCCUCGAAUGCCGGUGGAUACUGUCGGGCUAGAGUGCGGAAGAGGCGAGCGGAAUUCCUGGUGUAGCGGUGAAAUGCGCAGAUAUCAGGAGGAACACCUAUUGCGAAGGCAGCUCGCUGGGACGUAACUGACGCUGAGACGCGAAAGCGUGGGGAGCAAACAGG